GGGAAACGGGAAGAGGGGCCAGCCCCAGGCCCCGAAGCAAGCAUAUGGGGCC
rfam:Heterocephalus glaber contig71316, whole genome shotgun sequence.